rnacentral:rRNA from 1 species
UGGGGAAUAUUGCACAAUGGAGGGAACUCUGAUGCAGCGACGCCGCGUGAACGAAGAAGGCUUUCGAGUCGUAAAGUUCUUUUAUAUGGGAAGAUAAUGACGGUACCAUAAGAAAAAGCCCCGGCUAACUACGUGCCAGCAGCCGCGGUAAUACGUAGGGGGCUAGCGUUGUCCGGAAUCACUGGGCGUAAAGGGUUCGCAGGCGGAAAUGCAAGUCAGGUGUAAAAGGCAGUAGCUUAACUACUGUAAGCAUUUGAAACUGCAUAUCUUGAGAAGAGUAGAGGUAAGUGGAAUUUUUAGUGUAGCGGUGAAAUGCGUAGAUAUUAAAAAGGAUACCGAUGGCGAAGGCGACUUACUGGGCUCAUUCUGACGCUGAGGAACGAAAGCGUGGGUAGCAAACAGG